rnacentral:misc_RNA from 1 species
UACAGAGGGUGCAAGCGUUGUUCGGAAUUACUGGGCGUAAAGCGCGUGUAGGCGGCUUAUCAAGUCCUGUGUGAAAGCCCUGGGCUCAACCCAGGAAGUACGCAGGAUACUGAUGAGCUGGAGUAGCGGAGAGGAUGGCGGAAUACCCGGUGUAGAGGUGAAAUUCGUAGAUAUCGGGUGGAACACCUGUGGCGAAGGCGGCCAUCUGGACGUUCACUGACGCUGAGACGCGAAAGCGUGGGUAGCAAACAGG